AUUGAACGCUGGCGGCAGGCCUAACACAUGCAAGUCGAACGAGUGGCGGACGGGUGAGUAAUGUCGGGGAAACUGCCUGAUGGAGGGGGAUAACUACUGGAAACGGUAGCUAAUACCGCAUACCAUCGGGUGUGCCCAGAUGGGAUUAGCUAGUAGGUGGGGUAAAGGCUCACCUAGGCGACGAUCCCUAGCUGGACUGAGAGGAUGACCGGCCGCACUUGAACUGAGACACGGUCCAGACACCAACGGGCGGCAGCAGUGGGGAAUAUUGCACAAUGGGCGCAAUCCGGGUGCAGCCCUGCCGCGUGGAUGAAGAAGGCCUUCGGGUUGUAAAGUCCUUUCAGCGGGGAGGCGUUACCCGCAGAAGAAGCACCGGCUAACUCCGUGCCAGCAGCCGCGGUAAUUC
rnacentral:rRNA from 1 species